UGGCGGCGAUAGCGCGGUGGUCCCACCUGACCCCAUGCCGAACUCAGAAGUGAAACGCCGUAGCGCCGAUGGUAGUGUGGGGUCUCCCCAUGUGAGAGUAGGGCAUUGCCAGGCA
rnacentral:rRNA from 1 species